CGCAGCCGCGGUAAUCCCAGCUCCAAUAGCGUAUAUUAAGGUUGUUGCAGUUAAAAGCUCGUAGUUGAAUUUCGGAGUUCUACCGUCGGUCGGGCUACCAAGUCUGUACUGGUGUGUAGAAUUCCUACCUUCUGGGGAACUAUCAUGUUAUUAAUUUAGCGUGGUGGGAAACCAGGACUUUUACCUUGAAAAAUUAGAGUGUUCAAAGCAGGCUUAUGUCUGAAUACAUUAGCAUGGAAUAAUAGAAUAGGACGGUGGUCCUGUUUUGUUGGUUUCUGAAUCACCGUAAUGAUUAAUAGGGAUAGUUGGGGCAUUAGUAUUCAAUUGUCAGAGGUGAAAUUCUUGGAUUUAUU
rnacentral:misc_RNA from 1 species